GACGAAGGUGGCGAGCGUUGUUCGAAAUCACUGGGCUUAAAGGGCGCGUAGGCGGAUCGGCACGUGUCUUGUGAAAUCCCCCGGCUUAACCGGGGAAUUGCUUGGCAAACGGCCGGUCUUGAGGCAAGCAGGGGUGCGUGGAACUCUUGGUGGAGCGGUGGAAUGCGUAGAUAUCAAGAGGAACGCCGAAGGUGAAGACAGCGCACUGGGCUUGCCCUGACGCUGAGGCGCGAAAGCGUGGGGAGCAAACAGGAUUAGAUACC
rnacentral:rRNA from 1 species